rnacentral:rRNA from 1 species
UGCAAGUCGAACGAGAGAUGAAGAGCUUGCUCUUCAAAUCGAGUGGCGAACGGGUGAGUAACGCGUGAGGAACCUGCCUCAAAGAGGGGGACAACAGUUGGAAACGACUGCUAAUACCGCAUAAGCCCACGGCUCGGCAUCGAGCAGAGGGAAAAGGAGCAAUCCGCUUUGAGAUGGCCUCGCGUCCGAUUAGCUAGUUGGUGAGGUAACGGCCCACCAAGGCGACGACCGGUAGCCGGACUGAGAGGUUGAACGGCCACAUUGGGACUGAGACACGGCCCAGACUCCUACGGGAGGCAGCAGUGGGGAAUAUUGCACAAUGGGGGAAACCCUGAUGCAGCGACGCCGCGUGGAGGAAGAAGGUCUUCGGAUUGUAAACUCCUGUUGUUGAGGAAGAUAAUGACGGUACUCAACAAGGAAGUGACGGCUAACUACGUGCCAGCAGCCGCGGUAAAACGUAGGUCACAAGCGUUGUCCGGAAUUACUGGGUGUAAAGGGAGCGCAGGCGGGAGAACAAGUUGGAAGUGAAAUCCAUGGGCUCAACCCAUGAACUGCUUUCAAAACUGUUUUUCUUGAGUAGUGCAGAGGUAGGCGGAAUUCCCGGUGUAGCGGUGGAAUGCGUAGAUAUCGGGAGGAACACCAGUGGCGAAGGCGGCCUACUGGGCACCAACUGACGCUGAGGCUCGAAAGUGUGGGUAGCAAACAGGAUUAGAUACCCUGGUAGUCCACACCGUAAACGAUGAUUACUAGGUGUUGGAGGAUUGACCCCUUCAGUGCCGCAGUUAACACAAUAAGUAAUCCACCUGGGGAGUACGACCGCAAGGUUGAAACUCAAAGGAAUUGACGGGGGCCCGCACAAGCAGUGGAGUAUGUGGUUUAAUUCGACGCAACGCGAAGAACCUUACCAAGUCUUGACAUCCUGCGACGCACAUAGAA